AGUCUUUGGAAAAAGCAACAUACUAGUGGGUUAAAUAAAAAUGCCUAACACUGAGAGUUUUUAAUAUUUUUAAGAGCACUGUUACACUUCUCAGUUGGAAUUGGUUUGGAAUGGGAAGGGAUAUUUUCAGCUUGAAACUCACUUGUGUAACCCUCUCUGAUUACAAGUCCUUUGAUUUUGUGUAGGAAGCCAACCAGGAGACUUUUUAGAGCGAAAACUCACACUAAGAAAGGUAUGUAAAUUUACAUGUGGCUUCCCUGAGGUACUGUGGUGUGUAGUUCAAAUAAUCAUCCACUGUCUCGUCCACAGAUUUGUCUCAGGAUACAACCCCUGGUGGACCCAAAAUAUAUGAGUCAAGAGAUAAGAAACUACUGUAAGCAAAUAUAAAAUGAACUAAAAAUAUUAAUGACUACUUUAAGAACUAUGCAAUAUAGUGGAGCCCAAACAGCCCUGGGGCACUACCACCAGGAUUUUUUAUUAUGACAAACAUAAUCCAUAUCAUUUAAGAAAAAGUGGAGAUGAGUGAGCAAAGAAAAAAAGAAUCAUACAUGUUGGGAGCCAUAGGACGGUAGAGGACCCAGGAGAAGGUGUAGCAGCGCCCACUGACAUGGUUACAACUAGGGAAAGACAGGGGAUGGGCACACCUUCAGGCGAACGGCAUGGAGGUACCAUCAGGCGAUUGGAUUCAUUUUUGAGUGCAGUAUACCAUGAACAUCUCCUCCAUGCAUGUGGGUGAAAAUCCCCUACUGAAACACAGAGAGCACUGUAGUUGGAUCAAAAGGCUGCUGGUAAUGAGAGUGACACCUAAAGCAAAGAAUCAGCUUAAGGUUAAAGCACAUAGCCUGGCAAAUGCCUGCCAGGGAAAGCAGGGUCAGCGAUAUUCUCAUCAGAGGAGUCAGAAUUGAAGGCCAAAGGCAUUAAAGAUAUGGGAUAUCAUGUAAGCGCCUCUGGCCCCUACCUCCGCCCCUCAUUCCCCUGACACCCCGUUGGCCCCUUGGGGUGAAUGGAUCCUGUACAUCUCUUUGCAUCCAAUGAAAGUCACCCAUUUUCUGUCUUUUCCUUAGCUCUUCCUGAGCCCUUGACAUAUCUGCACAUUCUGUCAUCAUCUCCUCACUGCCCAGAUGCCUUUCCUGUAAGUUGUUCUGAUAGUCCUUGGGGGAAUCGUCCGUCCCCCUGUCCGUUUUUCUUUUUGCUUUCCGGGGCACAUAGUCUUCAGAGGUGCACUUUUCGGCAGCCCGCAGCUGACUCUCUGGCUUUGCCUGGGAUUCCAGCUUGCCCUCACCGUGUGGUUUUCCCUCAGCUUCGGACUUGUCCUGCUUUUCUCUCUUCCUCUCAUCUUCUGGUUGUCCCUGGUCUUCUGGCCGUCCCUCAUUCUGGAGCUCUCCCUCGUGUUCUGACUUCCCCUCCACUUCUGGCUUUUCUUCCUCAUCUGACUUUCCUUGAUUUUCAGGCUUUACUUCAUUUUCUGGCUUUCCUUCGCUUUCCAGCUUUCCUUCAUUUUCAUUGCAGAGUUUUUCCAUGUUGAGAUGUCCCCUCGUUUUCCUGUCCUGGGGGAUGGGAUGUGGUGGGGUGGGGGGAGAGAGACAAGAGGAAACAAGGGAGACUGAGGCCUUGGGGGUGGAAUGCAGGUCCGGAUAGUACUGGCAUCUCACCCUUGUCAGCGUUCCCCUGACCUGGCCCAGCCUAGUGUGCCUUCUGGCCACCCUUUACCCCACCAUUCCUCCUGCACUGAGAGCCAACCAUUUCCCUGGCAGGCCCUGCCACCUUGUACCAUCCUUCAGCGUGGCAGAAAGUGUGUAUAUUAUAUAUGGGGGGGGAUGGGCAGUGGGGCCCUCAAAUUCUGCCCAAGCUGUGCCCUCCACACCCAGCCCCCAGCUCUGUGCCUGUCCAGUGCCUCUCCCUCCUUCCGCUGACCUGCAGGGAUUCUGGAAAGGUUCCUCCUCCUUUUCUAGCCUUGCAGAGUGCUGAGAACAGACACGCAGACCUGCAGACAGGAGACAGAGAGGGGCUGCACGGUCAGUGGACUGAAGUCCCUUUCCUGAAUUUGGGCCCUCCUCAUCCAACGUUUCCUCCCCCACCUCCCCUGCAUCCAAGCCGCCAUUACUUUUCAGGCCUCAGGCACCAGACCAGGAUGCUUUCCAAACUAUUUUGGAUCUCUGGGUCUUCCUCCCGUGCAAGCAACCUGCCCCACCCCCAACCCUUUACGCUGAGGUCAAUAUUUCCUCCUGGGUGGAGAGGGUGAAAGGGAGUUAUUUUCAGAAUUUGUCUACGUUUCACUGUCGCACUGCGGGGGCGCACUCCCCCCCCCAUUUCAGGCUAGAAAAUGGAUGGAGGGCGCAGAGGAGGGGCGUCGAAGAGGCGGCAGGGCCAGUUGCAGGGUCCUUCCUCCCCACCUGCCCACACCACGCCCCGUGCCCCUCCUCACCCAUCUCGGGACCCCUUCCCCUCUCCCCGCUGCUCCCGGAUCCUAGUCCCAUCCGCUUCCACCCCCACCCCGGGCCGCCAGCAGCGCCCACCUUCACACUGACCUGCAGCGCCCUAGCCGGGCCUGCGCCUCCUCUGGCUCGCCUAAGCCCGCUUGCCCCUCGCUCGCCACGCGGGCAGCUCCGGGAGCUGGUUCCGCGCGGGCGACAGGACCAGACCUCGGGGCUGGGGGGGUGGGACGCGGGGGCUGCUGCCCACGUUGGCGCCCUGCCGGUCACGUGAGCGCCGCGUCACCCGAGCCCGGUUUCCCCCCGCCCCGCCCCCUCACCUACAUCCCACAGGGACCGGACAGCUGCGGACGGGCUGCGGGGUGGUGUGUGUGGAAAAGGGGGAGUUACCAACAGAGCAGGUGGGGGGAGGAGGCUUCCUGACUGCAGGUGCUUUACCUGGUGCCUCUCAGGUCCUCGCUCAGCAUCCCUCUGAGAUGCCCUUUAUCCCCAGUUGUGCCAGCUGAUUGCAGGGAGGGUACCCGACUUCUCCAGGAGCGCUCCACACGGAGCCUCACAACCCGUUUUCAAGACCAGCUCCGUCUGACUCCAGAGCCCUGGUGGUGGUGCCCGCCAGGUAGCUGCGCUGCCUCCUUGAGUAGCAGCUAUGUCCAGAGCCUCUGCUCUCCUCAGUCCAUGUGUCCUCGCUCCCUGGCUGAUCUCUGUUCAUUUCCCUCUAAACACAGAUGAUUUCCUAAUCUACAUAUCCAGGUUAUUCCCUCCCUUGAGUCUCAGACCCAUUUUGCUUUCCCACCAGCAAUAUAGGAGAGUGCUUAUUUCCCCACACACUUUUCAACAUAGCGUGUGACAUACUUUCUACUUUUCACUAAUAUGAUAGGUGAGAAGUAUUAUAUCGAUGGCAUUCCUGUUUAACAACAGUUUAAAUAUCAUUGUGAAUUGUCUGUUCAUGUCUUUUCCACAUUUUUCUAUUGGGUUGUUGGUCCUUCACACUUUUCAAGUGUUCUUUACACAUUAACUAUAUUAGGCCUUUAUCUGUUAUAUAAGUUGCAAAUAUUUACUUCCAGUUUGUUAGUUGCCUUUUGACUUUAUGAUGUAUUUCUGCCAUGCAUUAAAAAAAGU